UAAGAAAAGUUUAAAUAUUUAAAUAUUUUUAAAUCAAAGUAAAACACAAUAUAAUCGAUUGAAAAUCAAGAAAAUCUUUGAAGUUUCUGGUUAGGCACACCAAAAUGGAUUACACUACCGAGCAUUUACCAAUGGAAACAUAUAAUCGAAUCAUUAAAAAAAGAAAUUAUAUAUUUGUGCGAUUCUGUCACUCUUUUUAUUGCAACUAACAGUUCUAUUUACGAAAAUUGAUUUAGUGAAUCGGAUUUUUUUUUUUAUACUGCUUUUUCAAUGUAUUUAUUUUUAUUUGAAAACAUCCAAAGGUAAAAAAAAGAUACGAAAUAAUGAUGGAUAUAAACCAAAUUGAACAAGGAAUUUGGUAAAAAAUCACGCAUGGAAAAGAUUCGGGGAAAAAUGUAUUCAUGCUUGCUUAAUGUCAGAAACAUGAAGGCUGGGACGUCGAUUAAUGUUUUGUGAUGGAAUUUGCUGGAAUUCAUUACUUUUUAUUGAGAGCAUUAUAGUGCGACUCUUUUAUUAGUAUAACGAAGUCAAAAUGACCACGGUAUCGGGCAUGUUCCAUGACAUAACAUUGACGUGAUAAUAUUAUGCGAAUUUGAUGAAAUUAAAGUAGUACGAGCGUCUCGAACUAAAUUUUUCGAUAUUUGUUCAUUUGUAUAAAAAAAAAAAAUUAAUUUGAGAUAGAAAUAUCUCAAUUCAUUU